rnacentral:sRNA from 1 species
UUCCUUACGCAUGCGAGUCGGACGGCAGCCACUGUAGCAAUACGGUGGCGAGAGUGGUUUACCGGUGAGUAACACGUAGGUGAUCUACCCCUGGAGGGGGGAUAGCCCGUGGAAACACGGGGUAAUACCGCAUGAGGCCUUGGGGGUCGCGCCCUGAGGUGAAAGGUGCAAUUGUACCAUCUGGGGAUGAGCCUGCCGCCCAUUAGGUAGUUGGCGGGGUAACGGCCCACCAAGCCGACGAUGGAUAGCCGGCCUGAUAGGGUGUACCGCCACUCUGGAACUGAGACACGGCCCUUACUCCUACAGGAGGCGACCGUGGG